rnacentral:rRNA from 1 species
GACGAACGCUGGCGGGGGGAGGAAAAAAGGCAAGUCGAACGGAAAGGCCCUGCUUUUGUGGGGUGCUCGAGUGGCGAACGGGUGAGUAACACGUGAGUAACCUGCCCUUGACUUUGGGAUAACUUCAGGAAACUGGGGCUAAUACCGGAUAGGAGCUCCUGCUGCAUGGUGGGGGUUGGACCGUUUCGGCGGUUGGGGAUGGCCUCGCGGCUUAUCAGCUUGUUGGUGGGGUAGUGGCUUACCAAGGCUUUGACGGGGCGCCGGCCUGAGGGGGUGACCGGCCACAUUGGGACUGAGAUACGGCCCAGACUCCUACGGGAGGCAGCAGUGGGGAAUAUUGCACAAUGGGCGGAAGCCUGAUGCAGCAACGCCGCGUGCGGGAUGCCGGCCUUCGGGUUGUAAACCGCUUUCGCCUGUGACGAAGCGUGAGUGACGGUAAUGGGUAAAGAAGCACCGGCUCCCUACGUC